CUAUUAGGUUGGUGCAAAAGUAAUUGCUGAUUUUGCCAUUAAUUGUGAUGUCAAAACUGCAAUUACUUUUGCACCAACCUAAUAAUUUACGCUCCCACCAACAGUGU
rnacentral:miRNA from 1 species